UGCAGUCGAGCGGAGACAGUGAGUAGCUUGCUAUGAGCUGUUUUAGCGGCGGACGGGUGAGUAACGCGUGAGCAACCUUUCCCAGACAGGGGAAUAACACACCGAAAGGUGUACUAAUACCGCAUAAGACCACGGGAUCACAUGGUUCUGAGGUAAAAGAUUUAUCGGUUUGGGGUGGGCUCGCGUCCGAUUAGGUAGUUGGUGAGGUAACGGCCCACCAAGCCGACGAUCGGUAGCCGACCUGAGAGGGUGAUCGGCCACAUUGGGACUGAGACACGGCCCAAACUCCUACGGGAGGCAGCAGUGGGGAAUAUUGGGCAAUGGAGGAAACUCUGACCCAGCAACGCCGCGUGGAGGAAGAAGGUUUUCGGAUCGUAAACUCCUGUCCUUGGAGACGAGUAGAAGACGGUAUCCAAGGAGGAAGCCCCGGCUAACUACGUGCCAGCAGCCGCGGUAAUACGUAGGGGGCAAGCGUUGUCCGGAAUAAUUGGGCGUAAAGGGCGCGUAGGCGGCUCGGUAAGUCUGGAGUGAAAGUCCUGCUUUUAAGGUGGGAAUUGCUUUGGAUACUGUCGGGCUUGAGUGCAGGAGAGGUUAGUGGAAUUCCCAGUGUAGCGGUGAAAUGCGUAGAGAUUGGGAGGAACACCAGUGGCGAAGGCGACUAACUGGACUGUAACUGACGCUGAGGCGCGAAAGUGUGGGGAGCAAACAGGAUUAGAUACCCUGGUAGUCCACACUGUAAACGAUGAAUGCUAGGUGUAGGGGGUAUCGACCCCUUCUGUGCCGCAGUCAACACAAUAAGCAUUCCGCCUGGGGAAUACGGCCGC
rnacentral:rRNA from 1 species